rnacentral:rRNA from 1 species
UACAGAGGUCUCAAGCGUUGUUCGGAUUCAUUGGGCGUAAAGGGUGUGUAGGUGGCGCCGUAAGUCGGGUGUGAAAUUUCGGAGCUUAACUCCGAAACUGCAUUCGAUACUGCGGUGCUUGAGGACUGGAGAGGAGACUGGAAUUCAUGGUGUAGCAGUGAAAUGCGUAGAGAUCAUGAGGAAGACCAGUGGCGAAGGCGGGUCUCUGGACCGUAACUGACGCUGAGACACGAAAGCGUGGGUAGCAAACAGG